rnacentral:rRNA from 1 species
AUAAUGGAGAGUUUGAUCCUGGCUCAGGACGAACGCUGGCGGCGUGCCUAAUACAUGCAAGUCGAGCGGAGAAUGUGGAGCUUGCUCCACAUUCUUAGCGG